rnacentral:rRNA from 1 species
UACGUAGGCAGCAAGCGUUGUUCGGAGUUACUGGGCGUAAAGGGUGCGUAGGCGGCUCUAUAAGUAUGGUGUGAAAUCUCCCGGCUUAACUGGGAGGGUGCGCUAUAGACUGUGGGGCUAGAGUGCGGGAGAGGAAAGUGGAAUUCCUGGUGUAGCGGUGAAAUGCGUAGAUAUCAGGAGGAACACCGGUGGUGUAAACGGCUUUCUGGACCGUAACCGACGCUGAUGCACGAAAGCGUGGGUAGCAAACAGG